UACGUAGGUGGCAAGCGUUGUCCGGAUUUACUGGGCGUAAAGAGCGCGCAGGCGGUCGUGCAAGUCGCGUGUGAAAGCCCCCGGCUUAACUGGGGAGGGUCACGCGAUACUGCUCGACUCGAAGGCAGGAGAGGGAAGUGGAAUUCCCGGUGUAGUGGUGAAAUGCGUAGAGAUCUGGAGGAACACCGAUGGCGAAGGCAGCCCCCUGGACUAACACUGACGCUCAUGCACGAAAGCGUGGGGAGCAAACAGG
rnacentral:rRNA from 1 species